rnacentral:rRNA from 1 species
UACGUAGGGUGCGAGCGUUAAUCGGAAUUACUGGGCGUAAAGCGUGCGCAGGCGGUUUGUUAAGACAGAUGUGAAAUCCCCGGGCUUAACCUGGGAACUGCAUUUGUGACUGGCAAGCUAGAGUAUGGCAGAGGGGGGUAGAAUUCCACGUGUAGCAGUGAAAUGCGUAGAGAUGUGGAGGAAUACCGAUGGCGAAGGCAGCCCCCUGGGCCAAUACUGACGCUCAUGCACGAAAGCGUGGGGAUCAAACAGG